UCUACUAAUGUAAAUACUGUUUCUUGCGUGGCCAUUUCAUUUAUUAGUUCUGAGUAGCUUGUUUCUGUUUGUAUCUAAUUAUCAGUAGCAAUUGAUCAUUUCAGUUAACAUUUUAUAUAAAUGUUUUAAAUGAUGAUUUUUAAUUAUUUUAAGUCAUAUGGUAUGUUGUUUGUAAAACUCUUCUAAUUUUUUAAGUCAAGUUUCUUUUAAAUGAAAUUUUUUUUUACAUUUUUAAUUAGUUUUUUUGUUUUGUUUUUUGGUGGUGUUUGUGCUUGUUACAGAUAUUGAAGGUGGCAGUGUAAAGGUUGCGGUUCAAAGACCUCAACUAAACAUUAUAGUUUAAAACAUCCUCAAUAUGGGCGUAGGCACCCAUAUCAUUGUCCAUAUACUAGUUGUCCAUGUACAUUCAAUCAUGGAAUGCACUUAGAUCACACCUCUGUAGAGUCCAUAACAGAGACUCAUCUCAGCGAACGUCAUCAUUGGCUACAUUCAGAUGCCAAAGAAAUUAUUAUAUGUGGUUAAGCUCAAAGCACUGCUCCGGGUGUGUGUUCACGGUGUGUGUGUGUUCACUGCUGUGUGUGUGCACGUUGGAUGGGUUAAAUGCAGAGCACAAAUUCCGAGUAUGGGUCACCAUACUUGGCCGUAUGUCACUUCACUUUCACUUUCACUUUCACUUUCAAAUAUGACCCCAUUUAUGAGCUUGACCAAACACUUAAUAACUGCUGACCAUUAAUGUUACUUUGUUUCGUCCUAGUUCUUGUUACUGUGCACUUUUUUUGUUAACAAAGGUGUUUAUUUAUUUAUUUUUAUCUAUUACAGGAUAAGAUAUACACUGAACAAAAUUAUAAACGCAACACUUCAAUGCAAAGGAGAUGUGUUGCACUGCGUGAAGAAAAUGGUGGUCACACCAGAUACCGACUGGUUUUCGGACCCCCAAUACAGCAAAACUGCACAUUUUAGAGUGGCCUUUUAUUGUGGCCAGCCUAAGGCACACCUGUGCAAUAAUCAUGCUUCGGCAAAGGAGAAGUGCUUACUAACACAGAUUUAGACAGAUUUGUGAACAAUAUUUGAGAGAAAUAGGCCUUUUGUGUACAUAGAAAAAGUCUUAGAUCUUCGAGUUCAGCUCAUGAAAAAUGGGGGCAAAAACAAGUGUUGCGUUUAAAAUUUUGUUCAGUGUAUUUGUUCACAUUUCUCAUUCCAGUAUCUAAAUAUUCUUAAGAAUAAAAUGUUCUUUGAAAGAGUGUACUUGCAUUAUUAUGCUGUUUUAUCAUUAUACUGUCAUUAUGAAAUCAGAUAAAAUGGUCUUAAAAUGGCAAUUUCAUUUAUCGCAAAUAAUUUUGGUGCAAUAUAUCACACAACAAAAAGUAGUUAUCGUGACAGCCCUACUUGAGUGUACUCUGUAAUUGACUAAUUGCAUAAUCAUUAAUAAUGUUUGUAUAAGUAAAUGGUCGUUGUACUGUUCAUGUCAUCUACCCAUUUCACAUAAUUAUAGAAGUGUAAUAGGUUGAUGCUGCAUUUUUUCUAUUUAGAAUGAAACUGUUGAAAAGAAGAGGGAGUGCCUCCUCAGGGCACUUUGUGUCUAUCUGAAUGAAGAUCCGAGCAGUCUCUUCAAAGAGUAUCUGGCAGCAGUAACGGAUUCAGAUGACUGUGCUGCACAGAGGGACUUUUUUAACAAGUUGUCUUUGGCAUCUACAACAUUAAUGCUGAGGGAGGUGAUGCCACCACCACUCCAGUUGAUGUUGGAAUAGUGAAUGAGGGUGUUGAAGUGCUUCACGACUUGGGAGACAUCGCUUCUGCAUGUGCACUCUUAAUGGGUGUCAUAUAUGCAAUGAACCUGAACUGAAAACGUUCUUUGAGGUGCUUCAGAAAAUCUUCCUCCAGCUGGAUGCUACCAGACUCUCAACCAAGGUACAGAUGCUUAAAAACAAACUGUAUUGAACCAACAUUGAGCGUGUGGCGUUUAACAUUGAGGCCUGCUUUGCACUUGAAACCAUUUAAUUGAAAAACACUUGAAAGAUUAUAUACCUUUUUUCUUUUUUUCUUUUGUGUGUGACGCACCACUGGGUGACAUGCAUGUAAAGUUGUCCAGAGUUGUUGUUGUUGUUGUUUUUAAUAAAGGUAAAUAUAACCAACUUUAAAUGCUGCCACUCAUGGGUAUGCUUAACUUUUUUUCUCUUUUGUAAAACAGAAUUUGAUAAAGAGUUGUGUUGUUGAUGAACUCUUGUGUUGGUGAAUAAAGGAACUAAGAAAUGUUGA